UUUUUUUUUUUUUUAUUUUCCUAGGUCACCUGGCGGAACAAGGACGCGUAAAUAUUGUAAACUUCUCUCUCUCUCUCUCUUCCCCCCCCCUUUUUUUUUUAAACAGAUUCAGACAGGUAUCACUUUUUGUUUUAAAACAAGCCAUGAGAUGCAAAUGUUAAAGACCAGUGCCGUCUCAAAUCCCCGGGUGUGAAUACUUCGUCUGUCACGACUGUCCCUGGAAAUCCACAGGAGGUGAACUGAAUAAGAUUAGACUAUUUACCCCAUCAACUCUCCAUCAAACAAGGUGAAAGCAGCGCCGCGGGACGCGAGUGGGGCACCGGAGGAGCCGCGGCGCUGGCGGAGCGCACACACACAGCUCGGGCUGUGAGGGCUCGGCUUCUCAAAGAGUUUUUUGCUCCCCUGACGGAUGAUCCACCACGCUGCAAAGCUUACCUUUAUUCCUAAUUUAGAAAUGAUAUUUUCCAAAUAACUUGUCCCCCCAGUGGGGAAGGUUUCUUUUAUUUUGUUUUGUUUUAAUCUGAGUCGCCUUGCCGUGAAACUCCCGAUUUUGAUACCCGCUUCGCAAAACCCUCUCUCGGAGUUUCUCAUUUCCCAAGCGCUCUUCGCUAACCUGGCAAACGGAAAAUUGUGUUAAACAAACAAUCAGUUGUCACAUAAUGUUGGGGUGAAAUUGUAAUAACAAAUGAAACACAAGCGAAUUGUGCUGCAUAGUGUUGCUAAGCAAUUGUUUGUUACGGGAGGGUGGUCACAGCAUGGGUUGAAAGAGGGAUCUAAAGAGAAGCAUAGCACUGGGCAGAGCAAGCUGUUAGGUAUGAAAUACAGUAAACACGGCGCUGAUUUUCAAUAUUAUUACCCAAACACGAUUUCAUACAAAGCAAUCACCGUACACAAGUCUAUGAAAAUGCGCUUGUUGAGAAAUCGAAAUUUUUUUUUUAUUUUAAUACAUUAAGGAAUAAUUCCGGGGAUGCAAAACGCACCCACCGCCUUCCCGGCGGAAUCUUUGACGGGCCUGGCGGCGGGAGAGGCACCGGGACGGCCGGCCGGGAGGGGCCCGGGGCACCGCACCCCAGCCCGCCCGCCUGGCCGGGGCUUGCCUCGGGCCCAGGUCCCGGCUGCGGCUCCCGCCCCACGCGAGGAAUAACGAGGGGGUGAACCAGGGGUUUGGGGGAUGACCGGCGGCGAAACCCGCACGGAAACGGCGCUUCGCGGCACAUCUCUCGCUUAUAAAUGCCAUCACCCUGCAGCGUUCCCCACGUUUGUUUCAAAUUGAUUGCAUCAUUGCUUCACCAGGAAAAAAAGUAUAAAAGUCAUACAAUGCGAAAUUACGGUAAUUUGUUCCCAGAAUAAACUUAUCUUGAACUGAUUAGGAGAGUCAGUCAUUUGAAAAUGAGGCAGAAACGCGAUUGGGGUUUUUUUUCCGAAAGCUUCCCUCUAACAAUAUCAGCUUCUAAAGUUUUCAUUCAUAUAAACUUUAUUAAUGAAGAUCUUUUAUUUAAAUGUCAAGGGGAUUUGAAAUUUAGAGUAAAUUAUGAAGCAUGCAUGUCUUGCCAAGUCAUGGGUCAAAUGCAUUUGUGAAAAACUGCUAAAAGAGCAUAUGGUUUUGAAUUUUUCUACAAUGACUAGUGUUUAAAUAAAUUGCUUGUACUGCUUAA